rnacentral:sRNA from 1 species
AUUUUCUUUCCUCUGUUUCCUUGCUGUGUUUGUAUUGGGAGCACAGAGUAAUGUAAUUUAGUAAAUUAUGAUUUGAUGGCUGGGCAUCAGCCCCAGUGUUGAACAGUAUUUGGACUAUGAUUACUUGCUGGCUUUGUCACAGUUGACAUUAAUUAUUGAUGGAAGUUUCAGAAAUAGCGCAUGUGCCAGGAGCUUUUCACCGGAACGCAGGCUCCAGGCAGGAGGGAUGCUAAAGAGUGUGGGGGAAGAGACACCUGUGGCUUGUUUAUGUCUGUGCAAGGGGAACCAGGACCCAGCAGGCUGUGUAGUACCUGUGUAAAGGUUGUGGUGUAACGGAAGGAUGAACCGUCAGGCUUAUUUCUAUCGUGUUCCUCCCCAGGAAUUGCACCGAAGAAGCCAACUUCAGCCGGAGCCAGCCAAGACAAAGGCUCUCCAGACUGUCAUCGAAAUGAAGGACACAAAAAUCGCUUCAUUGGAACGAAACAUAAGGGAUCUUGAGGAUGAGAUCCAGAUGUUAAAAGCCAAUGGUGUGCUGAACACUGAGGACCGCGAAGAAGAGAUCAAACAAAUUGAGGUUUACAAAAGUCACUCCAAGUUUA